rnacentral:rRNA from 1 species
AGUGAACGCUGGCGGUAGGCCUAACACAUGCAAGUCGAACGGCAGCACAGUAAGAGCUUGCUCUUACGGGUGGCGAGUGGCGGACGGGUGAGGAAUACAUCGGAAUCUACUUUUUCGUGGGGGAUAACGAAGGGAAACUUACGCUAAUACCGCAUACGACCUACGGGUGAAAGCAGGGGAUCUUCGGACCUUGCGCGAUUGAAUGAGCCGAUGUCGGAUUAGCUAGUUGGCGGGGUAAAGGCCCACCAAGGCGACGAUCCGUAGCUGGUCUGAGAGGAUGAUCAGCCACACUGGAACUGAGACACGGUCCAGACGCCUACGGGAGGCAGCAGUGGGGAAUAUUGGACAAUGGGCGCAAGCCUGAUCCAGCCAUACCGCGUGGGUGAAGAAGGCCUUCGGGUUGUAAAGCCCUUUUGUUGGGAGAGAAAAGCAGCAGGUUAAGACCCAGCUGUUCUGACGGUACCUAAAGAAGAAGCACCGGCUAACUUCGUG